GUCGGAGUGGCGGAAACGGUAGACGCGCUAGCUUGAGGUGCUAGUGACCUAUUAGUGGUCGUGGGGGUUCAAGUCCCCCCUCCGACACCC
rnacentral:tRNA from 1 species